rnacentral:lncRNA from 1 species
CGAGUUAAGCUUCUGCUCAGCAUUUCUGUUUAGAGCCUGAAGACCCCUACCUCUCCCUCUACUGACUGUAACAGAACUGCAGGCCCGAAGAAUUUCAAAAAGUGAGGCACUGAAUGUAGUGUGCCAAACUGAGUACUUAACUGGAUGUCCAAUUUUAGCCUGCAAGUAAGCAUCUGAUUCUUCAUAUAGUCAGGUACCCCACCUAUACCUGGAGCCUGCCAAACCACUAGUAAUAUCAGUCAUCAGUUUCACUGCUUCUUGCUGGUCCAGGAACCACAAAAACCAACCCAGUCAGACUUAGUGAUCCCAGCCAACACCAGAAUUCGUGGAAGGUUCUCAGAGUGGAUCGGCACCCAACUCCAUACAGCAAGAGCCCGUCAUCACGGGCUGUCUUUGCACAAGUUCUCUACAGUCAUCUGCAAAUGAGUAUGAAAACUUUCCAGGGAUUUUAAUUUAGUAGCUAAGUUUCUUACUCAGAGCCAAAAAGCACC